ACGAACGCUGGCGGCAUGCCUAACCCAUGCCAGUCGAACGAGACCUUCGGGUCUAGUGGCGCACGGGUGCGUAACGCGUGGGAACCUGCCUUUAGGUUCGGAAUAACUCAGAGAAAUUUGAGCUAAUACCGGAUGAUGUCUUCGGACCAAAGAUUUAUCGCCUUUAGAUGGGCCCGCGUUGGAUUAGCUAGUUGGUGGGGUAAAGGCCUACCAAGGCGACGAUCCAUAGCUGGUCUGAGAGGAUGAUCAGCCACACUGGGACUGAGACACGGCCCAGACUCCUACGGGAGGCAGCAGUGGGGAAUAUUGGACAAUGGGCGAAAGCCUGAUCCAGCAAUGCCGCGUGAGUGAUGAAGGCCUUAGGGUUGUAAAGCUCUUUUACCCGAGAUGAUAAUGACAGUAUCGGGAGAAUAAGCUCCGGCUAACUCCGUG
rnacentral:rRNA from 1 species